CCUACGGGAGGCAGCAGUGAGGAAUAUUGGUCAAUGGGCGCGAGCCUGAACCAGCCAGGCCGCGUGAAGGAAGACGGCCCUAUGGGUUGUAAACUUCUUUUGUAAGGGAAUAAACGAAGCAACGCGUCCCUUUUUGAAUGUAUUUUAUGAAUAAGGAUCGGCUAACUCCGUGCCAGCAGCCGCGGUAAUACGGAGGAUCCAAGCGUUAUCCGGAUUUAUUGGGUUUAAAGGGAGCGUAGAUGGUUGGUUAAGUCAGUGGUGAAAUUCUGCGGCUCAACCGUAAAAUUGCAUUUGAUACUGGCAGCCUUGAGAGCAGUUGAGGUAGGCGGAAUUCGUGGUGUAGCGGUGAAAUGCUUAGAUAUCACGAAGAACACCGAUUGCGAAGGCAGCCUACUAAGCUGCCACUGACAUUGAGGCUCGAAAGUGUGGGUAGCAAACAGGAUUAGAUACCCGAGUAGUC
rnacentral:rRNA from 1 species